UACUCGUUUGAUGUACGUGCAGAGUGAGAUAAUAAUUAUUAACAGCUAUAAAAUAAGAAGCGAAAAUACGUUGAAACUCGACUUCUAGAUUCGCGAGACUUUGCAGAGCUUUGAAACUCUCGUGUUUCAAACCUAAUAAAAAGUUGUAGAGGGAGAAUUACAUUGCGAGAUCUGUUAAGGAAUAUCGUAUCCUUGUAAUAGGAUUAUUUCAGCGAGGCAAAUUCCGUGUUGCGUGUAACGCGUUGCAAAGCCAUGAGCUUUCUUUCGGGUUAAUAUACAUAACCGCCUUAUUGAACUUUCCAUCUCACACGUGAAUUUUGCGAUGUAAUUAUCAACACGAGGAGGGUGAUGUAAACUCCCUAGAGUUCAUGUAGGAUAGGGAUUCUUUUCGUUUUACGGGUAGCACGACAGGCUGUGUUUCAUGGACAGAACGAUCUUCCUUUGUUUUACGGACGGCCAUUUGAAGAAACACGUUCUUCCCAAACGAACGGACAGAGAGUUACAUUAGAGACAGAUAAGGUUUCAGAAUAGUUAUUUAAGAUUUUAAAGACUGAAGAUUUAAGAUUUAAAGACGGAAGGAGAAAUAUUGGUAGCUAAGGACGUUGAAAAUCGAUUCUCGAUUUUCAGACUUCAGAAUCGAUCCCUGAAUUAUCCAAUUAUUGAACCUUAUAAAUCGACUUUCCCUACGCCAUCUUGCUGAAAGUUAACCUACGCGUCGUCAUGAACGAGAACGCGAAACAGUAGAAGAUAGAGAAGAUAUAGAAUCUAUCAGAAGACCAGAAGACGAAAUAUGCUAUAUUUUCCCCCCGGAAUAUCAAGAAGAAAAGUACCAUCAACAAUUAUUCAGUUUACCAAUAGUGAAGAAGGUCGCAAACAGUCUAACCAAGGUAGGCCAAUGUAGAAAUAUUAAACUCACAAUAGAUGACGAGACAGCAACAUUGUAUAUCAAUACGGAUUCAAGCUUCGCAUUCUGAGACAUUGUCUUAGAGGAACCAGAAAUAACUUGCAGAAGAAAAACAAAGACGGAAAUUGACAUGGUAAAACUUCUAGAGACUCUCAGAAAAUGAGAUAAGAGGGAAAUAGAGGAAAUAAACUUCAAUAUAGAACAAUUUGAAGGAACUCGAAGAGCCACAGACUGGAUAUCGGAGCAUGAAGAGGAAUGCAAAAGAUACAAAAUAAAAGGUUCGUUCAUAGAAUAUGCAAUAGAGAAAGGACGACUAAUAUUGGAGGUAAAAGAAGUAAAAAGAAGAAUGCCUGAAGAUGUGAGGGUGCACCUGAUUGUCAUUGGAUUACCUAUCGAAAUCCAAGAUAAAAUCGAAAGAGAAAGUAUACAGUCAACAAAUAACCUAAUGGGAAUUUUGGGACAAUAUGAAGAUUGGAGAAACUGAUUUCAUAAAAAUUAUCCGUGCAGAUCGAUACCCAGUAAUGACAUCCAAAGAAAUUCGAGUAUGCGAGAAAGAAGAAAAUUAAAUUAAUUUUCACCUCGACUGACUGUCCAUCCUCCAAUGGACUAAACGAGAGGGUAAAUCAGACAUUAGUAAACAGCAUCAGAUGUAAGAUCAAUUAGAAAAAAAAAGAGAAACUGGACAAAAAUCGCAGAAGAAAGCGUAGAAGAGUACAAUAACACCAGAGUGUAAUGGGA